AGAGAAGCGCAAACGGUGGAUGCCUUGGCAGUAAGAGGCGAAGAAGGACGUGGAAUCCUGCGAAAAGCUAUGGGGAGCUGGAAACGAGCGUUGAGCCAUAGAUGUCCGAAUGGGGGAACCCGGCUGCAGCGAUGCGGUCAUUUGCAUUUGAAUACAUAGGAUGCAAAGGCGAACUCGGGGAACUGAAACAUCUAAGUACCCGAAGGAAAAGAAAUCAAGAGAGAUUCUCCAAGUAGCGGCGAGCGAACGGGGAGGAGCCUGGCGUGAUUUAUUAUUGAACUGAGUAGAACAAUUUGGGAAAGUUGGCCGUAGAGGGUGAAAGCCCCGUAUACGAAGGUUUGAUGAGGAACUAGGCACGCGAACAAGUAGGCCGGGACACGUGAAAUCCUGGUUGAAGAUGGGUGGACCAUCAUCCAAGGCUAAAUACUACUUACUGACCGAUAGUGAACCAGUACCGUGAGGGAAAGGUGAAAAGAACCCCGGAGAGGGGAGUGAAAUAGAAUCUGAAACCGUUUGCGUACAAGCAGUGGGAGCAUAGUUUAGGCUGUGUGACUGCGUACCUUUUGUAUAAUGGGUCAGCGAGUUACUUUCAGUGGC
rnacentral:rRNA from 1 species